rnacentral:lncRNA from 1 species
AGGAACCACAUAUUAUUCAUCUUUGCUGUGAUAGAAAAUCAUCUGUCACAGAGACGUAAGAGAAAAAAAGAGGCAGUGAUCAACAAUACAGCAGAGGAAUCACUGUCAGGAAUAACUUCACAGUAGAGGCUCCAUACUUGCCUAUCAUUUAUCUUCCCAACAACUCUGCCAGGUGCCACUCCCUACAUCCAGAUGCCCUGCUCCAGGACCAGUCUUCCCACCAUGGUUAUCUCCACCAUCUGGAGGGCAGAGACACCAGCUUACAAUAGACGACACCACCUAUUGGAUGAGAAGAGAAGUAGGAAAGGAAAUCCCAGGCUGGUGGAGAAGGUGAGGCAUUGAUGUGAUACAAACAAGACAACAAGUACCAUGAUGAAAAGCACACCGAUGUGAAGGACAAGACUCAAUAGUUAGAAGUGAGCACUGCUGUCCCCAGGUCCCCAUCACUACUUUGCCUGUCUUCCAAUUGAACAAUGAGAAUUGUUAAAGAUUUUCACUUUCUGUUUCAACUAUUCCAAGUUAUCCUUGCAGAUAUGACCUUCCUUUUAAUCUCCCCCCUGAUCCUCAUUUUUCCUUUCUCUUGAAUUUGUGCUACCUGCCGGGUGUCAAAAACUCAAAUCCUGAUUCACAAACGAGGGCCAAUGAAGUACCAAAAGUGAAGGACACAGGCACAAUGGAGACUGAGGAAACUGGCAGCCCUGUGUGCAGGGACACGUGGUGAGCCUCCUUCAGACAGUGUCACUACCAGGGAAGGCAAAACAUCCAGUAUUUCAAAACGACCUCCAAAUUGUGAUUUUUUUUUAUGUGGAAGCUCCUAGUUUUUAAAUGUGAAAAUAAUUCAUUAAAUUCCCCAAAUAAUAUAUGACUCCAAUGAAACUCAUUUGUAAGCUAGUAAUUGGUUUGAAUUAUUUAAAUUGGUAACUUCAGCUGAGUAUUUUUCUUUUCCCUUAACAUUUAUUUUGAAAAUUUUCAG